CAAGAAUUGUCUGACAAGUUCAUAAAUAUUUUUACAGAAACAUCUACACCACUGCUUGACUUCAGGCCUUCUUACACAGGACACGUUUGACUAUGAGUGCCUUGGUACAACGCUCCCAUGUUUGAUACAUAUGCAACUUCCUAUUAAAAGCUGAAAAUGGUCAAGCUUGAUGAAAACACUGUGCACAGUUCCUACUCUGUGUGAAGAUGCUGCUUGGAGAAGGCUUCUGCUUCAUUGUGGGUGACUGGAGAUGACAGGAUUCAGCCUGUUCCAUGUUCACUUGGUGAGUUCUGCUGGCUGCUGCUAUCACUGCUGCCAGACUGGCGGCGGCGUCUCCUGCCUUUUAUCAGGACACUCCGGUACACCUGCAGGGAGACACAAGCAUCACAGUACGUGUGAGUGGAUGUGCAGUUACACAGUCUGGAAGCAACAGUCUGCACUGUACAUCUGCUUUUCAGAACACUGUUUGACAUCACAUUGUUUUCUAUAGGGGAAAAUGCAGGCAGCCUCCUAACUGUUAUCCAAUAGGCACUGCUGUUGAAGGUUGUAAGUGAAGAUAAUUUAAAUUACAGGUACAGUUGAACAGAAAAAGCUUUCAGUAGUGCAAAAUUAGGGUGCAACUGCUAUUUUUAAGGACAGUGGCUCAGAGAAUGCAUCAUUUAAUAUGUAUUAGAUGAUGUCAUUUAUUAAAUGCCCUAGUUCUGCUUUGGGAACAGGGAGAUUUCCAACUGUACUUACGUGACUCUUGGCUUGUGGUUGUGUCCGGUAGCAGCGCAUAAUGUUCUGGAACGACCUGUCUUCCUUUGUAACCUACGAAUAGCGAGUAUUAGACCUUCUGUGGUGGCUUUUGGUUGUUUUUUUCCCCACCAUUUAGUUUGCUGAGGUUUUUGGGGGUUGCUAGAGCAAUCUCUGGACUACCAAGCCUUAAAAAACAUGCUGUUUUUAUUCAGCUUACCUUAGCCAUUACGUAGAUAGCACACAUCAGCAGCUGAUCCAGAUGCCUGUCCAUCAUGAUUUCAGGGCAGUGCAUCAAGGAAUACUCAAAACACGUCCAGACUUUUUUCCGCAGCUCAUCAGAUAUAUCCAGUUUGACAGACAGAUCCCGCAGACGAACACUUGCUAAAUGAUACACCUGAUGGAAAAGACACAGUGCAGGGACCACAUCAACAGUGUUUCUCUUAUCCAAGUUACAGCACAGUUUGGACAUGUGUGCCCUGUAAACUUGUGCAAAUGAUAAGCUAAUGACAAAUACUGAAAUUAUCUUCUUCUGCUUACAAGAUUAAGACACUUAUACCGGUACUGAUGCUAAAAAAGCAUUUGUUUUUGAAUUCCUCAAUUGUCUGAAGUACAAAAUCAGCACCCAUAGAAACCUCUGUACUGAAUGAAUAAGAAUAUUUCAAAAGUGAAUUUCUUUCUUUAAGAGCCUUAAAGAAGAUGGACACGUUUAAGUAGCUGCUAGCCACAGAUGUAAAUCUACUUCUCAACUAGUGACAGCUGUACUGUUCAUCUACUCUGACAGUGAGAAAUAACUGCGCAGGAAACCAACUCUUCAGGGAUGCAUCUGAACAGACAAAACAUGUUAUCUUGGAAACUAAACAUUCUCUUAUUAGAAAUAAGGAAAUAUUUUAGCAUCACAGAAGAGCAACCAAAAUACAAACUAAUCUGAAUUCAGAAGUACCUUUCUAAAGAAGAGAGAAAGUGAGCCCAUCUUCCGUGACCGAGUGGCUGUGGCAGUGAGGUGCUGGGCUGGUCUCGACUCUCCGGAGGUGAUGUGCUGAACAGUGACCUGUCCUGGGAGCUGCAGCGUUGCCCCCGACACCUGAGUGCUCAGAGUGCCUGUGAGAGCCUGGGUGCUGAGGGGCUGAAUGGAGCCAGAGACAGCUUGAGGCUGGCCCCCUACAUUUACCUGCACUGGGAAGAAAGUUAUUCCUCCAUUUUCAUUGGCGAUGCCUGUAAUUUAAGGAAGAGUCUGACGUAAGAGCAAGUUGUGGUGGUUUGUUUAGUGUGGAUGGUGUUAUCAGUUAGAGCUUUUUCUUAAUAGUUCAGUAAAUCUUAAAUUAGUUGCUCAUAGCUUGUAGUAUAUUAUAGAUACAAAAUGUUUCAUGAAAGUACUUGGAACUUCUUACCAUAAGGAGACAAGAAAAUAAUGGAAUUGAACUGAUCUUAAAUUAUAAUGUCACUUUCUUCCAGUUGAGGAAGCAAAGGUCACUGAAAUAACCAAGUUGCUAAUACGCAGUCAGUGAACAUCUUUGUGCUGUCUGUGUCUUGUCUCUAAAUUCCACUAAUCUAUUCAUUACAGUUCUUUCCCACUAUCCAUUCUUAAGCCUGCUUUCCUGCUCUGGAUGUGCUGUUUCCUCCCCACCCCCUUACUGUAUACUAACACUUGGAUAGAAAUUGGCCUAAUCUGACAGCAGCUCUUCUCUUACCUUGUACAGGUAUGGUCACAGUUUGCCCAUUAUUGGCUGUUACGGUGGCGGUUGCUACUGUAACCAAUGUCUGGCCAGGCACUGGAGUUACUGACACUGCUUCAGGAUUCACAUUCUGCACAGGCACCGUAUUUACCACGGGCUGCUGGGAAACUCUGACUGGAGUUCCGUUGUCAGAGGUAUUAUCAUUAUCAACGAACAGCCUUCUCCUUGUAGGAUGGGCUGUAGGAGAGCUGUAUCUGUCAUACAGGGUAGUAGGAGAUGAAAUGCCUGUGGAUUUAAAAAAAA